rnacentral:tRNA from 1 species
GGGCCCGUCGCUCAGAAUGGAUAGAGAGGUUGACCUAACCCUAGAACGCCGGCCUUCGGAGCCGGAGGCCGUGGGUUCAAGUCCCACCGGGCCCG